AACGAACGCUGGCGGCAGGCUUAACACAUGCAAGUCGAGCGGGCGCUUUCGGGCGUCAGCGGCGGACGGGUUAGUAACGCGUGGGAACGUGCCCUUUGCUCUGGAAUAGCCCUGGGAAACUGGGGGUAAUACCGGAUGUGCCCUGAGGGGGAAAGAUUUAUCGGCAAGGGAUCGGCCCGCGUCUGAUUAGGUAGUUGGUGAGGUAACGGCUCACCAAGCCGACGAUCGGUAGCUGGUUUGAGAGGAUGAUCAGCAACACUGGGACUGAGACACGGCCCAGACUCCUACGGGAGGCAGCAGUGGGGAAUCUUAGACAAUGGGCGCAAGCCUGAUCUAGCCAUGCCGCGUGGGUGAUGAAGGCCUUAGGGUCGUAAAGCUCUUUUACCCGGGACGAUAAUGACUGUACCGGGAGAAUAAGCCCCGGCUAACUUCGUGCCAGCCGCCGCGGUAA
rnacentral:rRNA from 1 species